AAGGGAACGGCCCACCAGGGCAACGAGGGGGAGGGGCCAAGAGAGGGAGAACCCCCACACGGGAACAGACACACGGACCACACCCCNACGGGAGGAAGCCGAGAGGAACACCGGACAACGGGCGCAAGGCAGACCCAGCCAAGCCGCGAGCAGUAAGACGGACCAAGGGCAAGCAAGCGGCAGAAAGACAGGAAGAAACACACCCGCGGGAGGGCACGAGACGGAACAGAAAGAAGAAGCACCGGCCAACGCCGGGCCAGCAGCCGCGGGAAAACGGAGGAGGCAAGCG
rnacentral:rRNA from 1 species